rnacentral:sRNA from 1 species
AGGGCAGGCCUUUCAGGCAUCCUCUCCUAAAACUUAUCAAGGCCGGCCCUUUUUGGGCUGGCCCUUUUUUUAUCUUGA